rnacentral:rRNA from 1 species
UAGUCCACGCCGUAAACGAUGCAUACUCGCUGUUGGCUCGUUAUAGAGUCAGUGGCCAAGCGAAAGUCAUAAGUAUGCCACCUGGGGAGUACGUCGGCAACGAUGAAACUCAAAGGAAUUGACGGGGGCCCGCACAAGCGGAGGAACAUGUGGUUUAAUUCGAUGAUACGCGAGGAACCUUACCUGGGCUUAAAUGUACGUUGCAUAGAGCAGAGAUACUCUUUUCUUCGGACUAUGUACAAGGUGCUGCAUGGUUGUCGUCAGCUCGUGCCGUGAGGUGUCGGGUUAAGUCCCAUAACGAGCGCAACCCUUACCGUUAGUUACCAUCAGGUUAUGCUGGGGACUCUAGCGGGACUGCCGGUGUAAACCGCGAGGAAGGUGGGGAUGACGUCAAAUCAGCACGGGCCCUUACGUCCAGGGGCUACACACGUGUUACAAUGGCCGGUACAGAGGGGCAGCUACCUGGUAACAGGGAUGCGAAUCUCAAAAGCCGGGU